rnacentral:rRNA from 1 species
UACGAAGGGGGCUAGCGUUGCUCGGAAUCACUGGGCGUAAAGCGCACGUAGGCGGCUUGUUAAGUCAGGGGUGAAAUCCUGGAGCUCAACUCCAGAACUGCCUUUGAUACUGGGGAUCUCGAGUCCGGAAGAGGUGAGUGGAACUCCGAGUGUAGAGGUGAAAUUCGUAGAUAUUCGGAAGAACACCAGUGGCGAAGGCGGCACUCUGGGCCGAUACUGACACUGAGGAGCGAAAGCGUGGGGAGCGAACAGG